UCUCAAGAAAUAAAAAAAAAAAAAAAAAUCUAACAACACGCAUCACGUCUUAGACAAACACCUGCAAACAAACAUUAAUACUGUUUCAAGAUUCACACUACUCCAAUUUUCGAUGGCAACAGUACCCAUCUCUUAACUUUUUCCGUUUUACAUGGCAUCACCAUCAAGUAUUUUUGAACCCAUCCAUCUCCUCCCAUCAACCAAGACAGAACCUCAAGCUGCCCUACCAAACAUUAUUCUUCCUCUGCACACCUUCUUGAGCCCAACACGCCAACCCACACACGGUUGUUUUUCUACCAGAUUCAACACCACACAUGCGUAUCACAUUUUUUCUUCAUCCUUAACUUUUAUCCCGUACACGACCAGCUUCAUCCUUCUCCUUCCUAAAAUUUUCUUUUCUCCGAUCACCACUCAUCUCGUUCUCCAAAAAUCACACCAUUCCGGUGAGUUCCCGACGAGACCAGCAACGGCGACGAUGGAGUCCGUACCGCAUCCACCCGAGAGGAGUGUGAACACAGAAUAUAGUGAUGAUCAUGUGAUUUGUCACACGGUAGCAGUUGAUGGUUUUGGUGAUGUUGGAGAUGCAUCCAGACUGAGUGAGGGCCAGAGCUUGGGGUUGAUUUUAAAAAAGCAUACUUUAAACAAUUUGUAUUUCUUUCAAGUGUGGAUUUCUACUUGUAAUAGAAUAAUUAUGAGAUAUUGAGUUUUGAUUUAGACGCGGAUAAAGUUUUAAAAUUUCCCGCGUUUUUGGGGAUAA